GGCCGACUAGCUCAGUUGGUUAGAGCGUCGUGCUAAUACUAUAAUUCAACGGCUGCUCUUGGCAACUUGGCGGCUGGUGGAUUGCACUUACGCGAAGGUCUUGGGUUCGAUCCCCACGUUGGCCA